rnacentral:rRNA from 1 species
GACGAACGCUGGCGGCGUGCCUAAUACAUGCAAGUUGAGCGCUGAAGGUUGGUACUUGUACCAACUGGAUGAGCAGCGAACGGGUGAGUAACGCGUGGGGAAUCUGCCUUUGAGCGGGGGACAACAUUUGGAAACGAAUGCUAAUACCGCAUAAAAACUUUAAACACAAGUUUUAAGUUUGAAAGAUGCAAUUGCAUCACUCAAAGAUGAUCCCGCGUUGUAUUAGCUAGUUGGUGAGGUAAAGGCUCACCAAGGCGAUGAUACAUAGCCGACCUGAGAGGGUGAUCGGCCACAUUGGGACUGAGACGCGGCCCAAACUCCUACGGGAGGCAGCAGUAGGGAAUCUUCGGCAAUGGACGAAAGUCUGACCGAGCAACGCCGCGUGAGUGAAGAAGGUUUUCGGAUCGUAAAACUCUGUUGGUAGAGAAGAACGUUGGUGAGAGUGGAAAGCUCAUCAAGUGACGGUAACUACCCAGAAAGGGACGGCUAACUACGCG